AGAAUCAACGCUGGCGGCGUGCCUAACACAUGCAAGUCGAACGGGAAAGUGGAGCAAUCCAUGAGUAUAGUGGCGACCGGGUGAGUAACACGUGACUAACCUACCCUUGAGUGGGGGAUAACCUCGGGAAACCGGGGCUAAUACCGCAUAACAUCUUCGGGAUGAGAAGCUGAAGAUCAAAGGAGCAAUUCGCUUUCGGAGGGGGUCGCGGCUGAUUAGCUAGUUGGCGGGGUAACGCCCACCAAGGCUUUGAUCGGUA
rnacentral:rRNA from 1 species